UGGCACUUUGUUCAUAGAAUCAACCAUUUGACUCAUACCAAAAGCGAUGGUGUACUCUAUACUCUCUACUCUCUAGAUAAUUCUCCUCUCAGCGCACAUUAGUGGUGAAACCUAUCGUACACCUAUGCCAGAAAUAGCUAGGGCAAGACGUAAAAAGCUGCAAACAAAAUUCAAUUAUCAAAUAUGAAGAUAGCAAAGGUGAAUCAUAGAGAAAUUAAGAAGCCUGAGCUAUUGGAAAAUCGAUCGGGAACAUGGUCUAUUCAAUUGUCAACUGGGAUUCCAAGAAACAAUGAUGAGGGCACGCACACUCCGCCCAUAAGGGGGCAAGGAAGCUAUAAGUGAUUUACUAGGGAAUGAUGACACUAUAGGGAUAGUAGCUCCUGUAUCGGGGAUAACUAAGCUUAUCUAAACAAAGGGUUACGAAUAGCGGAGACAAUGGAAUUGUAAUGCAAUUGAAGGAAACUCAAAGUCCAUGUCUGAGUCCGGAAGAGCUAUUCCUGAUAAGUUUCAGCAGGAGACCCCUACUGAAGAGAUAAUGAAGCUUGAUCAGACUGAUGCUAACAAAUGUGUCCCUACCUGGGCGAAUACUGUCACCGGGAAUAAGUUGGCUUCUAGGGGAAUGAAAUUGGACUUCAUAGCUCCGAUGAUACAAGAAAGGGAGAUAAUUGUGGAAUUGAACCAAGAGGAGAUUGAAGAAGAAAAUUAGAAGUGGGAGCAUGCUAUUAUCUUGUAUGUCAUUGGCAUUUCACCAACAAUUGGAGUUGUUGAGAAAUUCCUUUUUGCUCAAUGGAGAUUCGCUCAAAAAUCACAAAUCUAUUAUCACAAUUAAGACUAUUUUGUUAUCCGGUUCAGCUGCUAUGAGGAAAGGAAUGAGGUAUUAUUCUCUGUUCCACAAACAAUUAACAAUAGGCAUGUGAUAAUGAAGCCAUGGAGUUCUGAAUUUAAUUUCUAUGAUGGAGUGCUACGAACUGUGCCAUUAUGGGUAAAAUUUUGCAAUUUGCCACUUAAUUAUUGGGGAAUGCGGACUAUUAGUCGUAUUGGUAGUAGCCAAGGCAAACCACUUUUUGUAGAUGAGUGUACUACUUUAGUCGCUCGUAUCUCGUUUUCUCGAAUGUUAAUUGAGGUCGACAUUACAAGACCCCUGCCAAAAAAGGUGAAUAUGAAGGAUCCUAGAGGAAAGAUAUUUGAGCAGGAGAUAGCUUAUGAUUGGAAGCCAGAAUGUUGCUCAACAUGUCUAACCAUUAGGCAUGUCGAGUGAUUGAAAAGAAGCCUAAGCUAGCUAAAGGAAAGAAUGUCAUCACCAAACAGGUUCGACAAAUGUUGUGAAUCAGUGGCAGUUAUUCGAAAGGUGACACAUGUUCAACAACAGGGUAUACAAAAGCAACAAAAACAACCAGCGAAGGUAGCCAAGGAAACAAUAAUAAUGAACAACCUCAAAUAGAAGGGUGGAAAGUUGUUACAGGGAACUCAUCUGAUAAUUCAAAUAAAAUAGCGAGUAAUGAAGGUGAAAACAUUAGCAUAAAGAAUGGAUUUAGUCCAUUAAUUGAGCCAACAUGCGAUCAUACUUUGCAGGUUCGUCAAUCAUUUGAAAGGGGACAAAGUAGCCAGAUAGGAGCUAGGGAUAACACAUUUUCUCUAUUUGUUCCAGAGUAGCCAGAUAGGAGCUGGGGAUAACACAUUUUCUCUAUUUGUUCCAGAGUAGCCAGAUAGGAGCUGGGGAUAACACAUUUUCUCUAUUUGUUCUAGUAUGACUUUGAUUACUUGGAAUGUAAGAGGAAUGAAUAAGUCGCAUAAGCAAAAGGAGAUAAAGGGUUUUUAAGGGAGAAUAAAUUGGGCUUUAUGGCUGUAUUAGAGCAUAGAGUUAAAACAAUGAAGGAGGCUAAAAUAAUUGCUAAGAUUGUGAGAGGAUGGAGCUGGAUUUCUAAUGCUACAAGUACCAGCAAGGGAAGAAUUUGGGUCUUUUGGGAUCCUAAUAUUUUUGACUUUAAUGUGAUAGACAUAAGUGCUCAAUGCAUCCAUGGAAUGGUGAGAAUUUAUGCAACCAACUUGUUGUUUAAUUUCACUAUUGUAUAUGGAUACCACACAAUACAAGAUAGAAGGGGUUGAUGGGAGAGACUCAAGGAACUAGCAGGAGUACAACAAGGCCCUUGGCUGGUAAUGAGUGAUUUCAACACUAUAUUGUAUGUUGAGGAUAGACAAUUUGGGGCUUCUGUACAAGAAGCUAAAGUUAGAGAUUUUAGAUAAUUUUUGUGUGACACUGGUAUGACUGAGUUAUAAUACACUGGCAGGGACGAUGCCUGGACAACAAUAGUGUAUAUGGUUGGAUCGAUAGGGUUAUAAUGAAUGCAGAAUGGAUGAACUUAUGGCCAACUUGGAAAGUUAUAGUGAUGGAGCCUUUCUUUUCAGAUCAUUCCCCUUUAAAACUUACUACUGAAGGGAUGCAGGGGAAGGUGCUAGGUCAUUUAGAUUUUUCAAUUACCAAGCAGAGCAUCAAUACUUCUUACUGAUGUUUUAUACUUUAAUACCACACAAUAGGGGAGGUGAUUUGUGUGGUGUUCAAUUUUUGCGUGCACAGAUUAUAGAAAGACCUGGUUCUUCUAUGUAUUUCUCAUACUACUGUUGCGGAAAUAAUAAAUACAAAAAGUAAAGGACACAAGUAUUUUUACGUGGAGAAUACCCGGUUCAAAAGAUCCAGGUACUUAUACUCAUACUUAUCACGCUUGAAACGAGGUGCUUGAAGAGACUCCGAGGCUUACUUUGUCGUAGAGACUGGGUGCCGUCACGAUAGUUCACGAAGGGCGAACCGGGGUCAUGACAGAAGGGUUACCUCUUGGACUACAAAAUACUUGUCUUAUGCAGGGUGAGUCAGCUUAUUGAAAGUAUUUUAUUUUCUGUACAGGCUUUCUGGUCACAAAUUUUUGUAUUACCUAAAAAGAUUAUUACAUUGGUUGAGACUGCAUGUACGAAGUUUUUGUGGACGGGUGGAAAUGACUUAAGCAUGAAAUUUUUAUUAUCUUGGGACAAAGUGUGUUUACCUAAGUCGACUGGUGGACUAAAUGUGAUAGAUAUAGCAUUAUGGAAUAAAGUAGCAAUUUGUAAGCAUUACUGGAAUCUCCGUAAGAAGAAAGAUAGACUAUAAAUUCAAUAGUUUACAUACUUAUUACAUAAAAAGAAAACCUUUUUGGGGAAUAUAUGCUAAAAAACAUUGUGGAUGGUGAACAAAUUCCUUAAAGCUAAAGAGUUCUUGGAGCAAGCAGGCAUUUCAUUUGAUGAGCUAAUGAAGAUACAACAGUUCUUUAUUAGGGAGCUGUAUAUAAAGCUAAGAGGGGAGUUUCAAAAGGUUCCAUGUAAUAGAGUAGUUUAUAAUAAUAUGGAAUGUCCAAAAUGGAUCUUUUUGCUUAGAAUGGUGGCCCAUGAAAGGUUAUAAACCAGAGAUAGACCGGUAAAAUGGGGAGUGACGAGUAAUAUUAUAUGUCCUUUAUGUGAUGUAGAAGUUGAAUCUGUAAUCCACUUAUUCUUCAAGUGCUCAUUUGCUGCUUCAAUAUGGAAUCAAUUGCUAAGAUGGUAGGGUGUGGAUAGACAAGCAAUGGGGUAGGUGGAUGAGAAAGCUUGGGCGAUCUAGUUCAUGAAUGGUAAAAAUGACAAGGCAGAGAUCUAUAGAAUGAGUUUGGCUGGAUGUGCAUAGUAUGUCUAGCAAGAAAGGAACCAACGGCUAUUUCAAGGUAGAAGGAGAGAAGAUGCUACUCUGGUGAGACAUAUUGUUCAAGAUGUACAUGUUCGAGGUGCAAGCAGUAGCAGAAUAGCAGGUCAUUUAAACAGAAUAAAUUACUAUCCUUAGUUGCUGCUAGUUAUGAAUGUAGUAGUUAUGACUGUUAUAAAUUUUGAAGCUUUGUAGUUGGGUAGAUCAUAGAGAGGGGCAUUCUUGCCUACACUGAGGGAUUUUUAGAAUUGCUUGUAAAUACUUCUUUUUCACUGGUAUAUAAAAUCUCUAAAUACCCAAAAAAAA